rnacentral:rRNA from 1 species
CAACGAUUAAAACCCUACGUGAUCUGAGUUCAGACCGGAGUAAUCCAGGUCAGUUUCUAUCUAUAAAGAGCUUUCUCUAGUACGAAAGGACCGAGAAAGCACGGCCCCUAUAACAUAUAAGCCCUAGCUAACAACUUAUGAUUUAUACUCAAUAAUAACUUAGCCUAACACGUACCUCAAGACAAGAGUA